rnacentral:lncRNA from 1 species
CCUUGGUCUGUUGGUUCUUUAUAUCCUGAGUUAUGAUUUCUCUGCCUGAGAAUGCAUUUUGGGAGACAAACUUCAUCAGUUUUGUGUGAUGUGGUAUGCUGGCCAUGUGAGUUCCUGUUCGAUAAUUCCACAGCCUCAAGCCAGGAAACUCCUCAGCAGCCCAGUUCCAGUGACUGAGUCCACUUUGAAGACACCUUGUUGUGGGCUGCCCAUACUGUGAGGCCUGUACCCAACCAGCCCACUGGCCUUCAGUUCCAUCAGGACUGGAAGCACCUGCACACAGAGCUGAAAAGCAAACCUUUUUUAUGACUGGACGUGAACAUGUGCCGUGAUAGCUAUGGUAAGGCUGGUAUGCUGACCCUGAUUAAUGUGCCUGAGCCCUGUGUACAGGGGCUUAUAGGGUUGAGAAGCACUAAUGGACUAAUAUUUUCUAUUUCCACCUCAAAGACCCCAGCCAGUUAGGAAAAUACUCCUCCCCAAUGCCUGGGAACUGAUGUUAAUUAUGCAACCUACACUCACAUGGAGCUCUGCCCGGAUUCUUUCUCUUCCCUUGGACAGUUAAACAGAAUAGACUCUGCAGAGUCAGC